rnacentral:rRNA from 1 species
UACGUAGGAUGCAAGCGUCAAUCGGAAUUACUGGGCGUAAAGCGUGCGCAGGCGGUUUUGUAAGUCUGACGUGAAAUCCCCGGGCUCAACCUGGGAAUUGCGUUGGAGACUGCAAGGCUAGAAUCUGGCAGAGGGGGGUAGAAUUCCACGUGUAGCAGUGAAAUGCGUAGAGAUGUGGAGGAACACCGAUGGCGAAGGCAGCCCCCUGGGUCAAGAUUGACGCUCAUGCACGAAAGCGUGGGGAGCAAACAGG